rnacentral:rRNA from 1 species
UACGUAGGGUGCAGGCGUUAAUCGGAAUUACUGGGCGUAAAGCGCACGUAGGCGGUUUGUUAAGUCGGAUGUGAAAUCCCUCGGCUCAACUGAGGAUGUGCAUCCGAAACUGGCAGGCUUGAGUACUAAAGAGGGUCGCGGAAUUCCCGGUGUAGAGGUGAAAUUCGUAGAUAUCGGGAGGAACACCGGUGGCGAAGGCGGCGACCUGGGUAGAUACUGACGCUGAGGUGCGAAAGCGUGGGGAGCAAACAGG